rnacentral:tRNA from 9 species
GACUUUGGUCUAAUGGUAAGAUUCUCGUUUCGGGUACGAGAGAUUCUGGGUUCGAUUCCCA